UGCCUGAGUAUGUGCAGGUGAUUGGAUGCCUGUAUGUGAGCGUGUGUUUAUGUGUUUGUUCAGUGCUAUAUAAAUAGUGUGCUGUGUGCGCGAGGCAAUGAUUCUGCUGAAGAUGGUUGAUGUUCCAGGGUCUCCACUCCUAUCUCUGCUGCUGCUGCUGUGUGUGUCGCCUCUGCCUGCCGCCACAUACACCCUGACCCCUGGCAGACAGGCCCAGCACAAAGUCCUGCACCUGGACUGGCCUAAGGACUGUGGCACGGCCCACUAUAAACCUAACAUGGUUGAACGGAUCGUCUCUGGAAACGAGGCCAGACCUCACUCCUGGCCAUGGCAGGUCUCCCUACAGCUAGCAAAUGCAGCAGCUAGUUUAUCCUGCUCAAACACCCGGCUCAAACAGAGAGGGAUGCUAUGUUAGCUCUCUGGCUAUCCAACACUGGAACUCUUCCAAGUCAAGGUUCGUCCCAGAGGCAGUAAGCGCUACAUCCAUGUCUGUGGAGGAACUCUCAUCCACAAGAACUGGGUCCUCACUGCUGCUCACUGCUUCCAGAAGGGUAAAGCCGAGGAUGCUGGGAGUUGGAGGAUUGUCCUGGGGAAGCACCAGCUGAAACGUUCCGAAACACCCGAGAAGACUAUCCCGGUGAAGAGGAUAUAUCGUCACGAGCACUUCCGUUACCCCACACACAGCGAGUUGGAUUACGAUAUCGCCCUGGUCAAGGCUGCCACCGACAUCGUGCCCACCAACCACAUACGCUAUGCAUGCCUGCCGCGCAAACAGAUCAGCCUGAAGCCAGGACAAUACUGCUGGGUGACCGGCUGGGGAGACACUCGGGGUGGGAAGGAGAACGUGUCUCUGGCUGAGGCUCUGAACCAGGCCCGUUUGCCCAUCAUCGACAUGAAGACCUGCCGUCAGAAGAAGUUCUGGGGAGACCGCGUCAGGGACUCCAUGAUCUGUGCCGGCUUCAGAGACACAGAAGGACCACCUGCUGCCUGCCAGGGUGACUCGGGCGGUCCUCUGCUGUGCCAGUUGGGGCGUGACAGGUGGGAGGUGCACGGUGUGGUGAGCUUUGGCCCCAUUGGCUGCACCGUGGAGAACAAGCCCAGCGUGUUCACCCGCACCGCCAAUUACAUCCCUUGGAUCGAGGCUACGCGCAUCAGAGACAUCUUCAUGCACUAGACUAGACCACACACAACCUGACAACCCCUCCACACCCCAAAACUAUAGCAUUUAUUUUUUGUGCGAGAUACCAUAUUGCCUCAGGCCACACACCCCUCUCCUGUGUCCAUAACCUGUGAGUCACUACAGUGACAUCAGACAACAUUUGAAUGAAGACAUUUUACAAUCAACAUUGUACUGAUCAUCAGCAUUUCAUUAAAUCAAGCCACCUGUCACGAUGCUGUAAUCUGUGUUAAAUCCUGUGUUAUUCAGGCUUUGUGUCUCUGAAAGUACUCGAGUCACCAUCCACUUAAUGUGUAUGUUAUGGACAAUUUGUUUCAGAAUCACACUCAAGUCAACAAUUCAAUGCUUUAUGUCUAUAACCUAUGGAUUUUGUCUGGAGCAUUUUGUCCUUCAAUAUUACAUUCAGAAUCAUGUUAUCCCAUUUCAUUGGUGCAUGCAAAGGAACAUACAGUAUCUGCAAUUUGUAUGGCAUGUAUGACACCUUGACCUCCACCACAUCCCCAACGAAUGUUCCACUUCCUGGUUGUACUCUUUCCUGACUAUAACUCCCAUCAUGCAGUCUGUCAGACAAUAAAGUUGGCAGAAAAAGCAGAACAUUGUGAACCUCUUCUUUCAAAUAUACUGUAGAACACUUAGUUUAGCUUACUGACUGAUACCAAUAGUGUAGCGGGCACACAAUCUGGGUUCAAACCCAGUCAGUCAGUCAGUCACAAUAGCAUAUCCCACCCCUAACCCCAUCUACAGGCUUUCACAACACAAGCAGCAUGAGCACAACUGACCAAGAUCCAAGGCAGCAUAUUAUCAUUUUGAAUGUUUGUUGUAUUGUUCUUACAGUGGGCUUAACAGGCAAGGACACAAAUAGAUAAUACAGACACUUCCAGUACUGUUUGGAAGUAACUUUUAGAAAGGCAAGCAUCGACUCCAACUCUUAACAGGAAAAUAGUACCCACUAUGAAUAAAUACAUUACAACAGUUUUGAUUGUAAGGCCUAGGUAAGGGUGUGUGCUGGGAUGAAUGUCUCUUUGCUCUUCAGCUUCAUGAGAAGUCUUGUUCUGUAUCUGAAGGACUACAACCCACAGUCACAUAAAAGCAAAGGACUACAAUCAUGGCUUCCAGAAGCUCUCUGGUUGUGUCUUAGACCAGUGUUGCAGAGGUGGUUCAAUGAACCAUGCUUAGAUGAGUAACCUUGCGUUCGCUCCCUGUACUAAACCAUUUGGCUUUACCUCAGGGGACUAACACAGUCGUGAGUCAAGUGGGCAACCUCGUAAAAUAACCAGUCAGUAACACCAGCCGAGAUGUUCAGAUAACUUCAAGGAGGGGAAGGGUGGAUGUAUCACUGACCAGACAUGACUGGAUAGCUGUUAACCGAUUUCCACUGAAUUGUUUUCAUCACUCCAGUCAUGUCAGAUGAGUGAUCACUUCACAGGGAGGGAGGAGGCAUGUAAAAAUGAUUACAACAGGGCCCCAGUAUCCAUUUACUUAGCAUAUACUCUUAACAUGGACAUACUAUUUACAUGACUCUUUCCCUCUUCCAGGCUA